rnacentral:rRNA from 1 species
GAUGAACGCUAGCGGCAGGCCUAAUACAUGCAAGUCGAGGGAGAAUGUUGGAUUCGUCUGACAUGAAACCGGCGCACGGGUGCGUAACACGUAUGCAACCUACCUUUAACUGGGGUAUAGCGCAGAGAAAACUGAAUUAUUCCGCCAUAAGACUACGCCAUGGCAGCAUGAUGGAGUUAAAUCUCCGGCGGCUAAGGAUGGGCAUGCGGUACAUUAGCUAGUAGGUGAGGGAAUGGCUCACCAAGGCUACGAUGUAUAGGGGGUCUGAGAGGAUGAUGCCCCACACUGGUACUGAGACACGGACCAGACUCCUACGGGAGGCAGCAGUAGGGAAUAUUGGUCAAUGGGCGCAAGUCUGAACCAGCCAUGCCGCGUGAAGGAUGAAGGCCCUAUGGGUCGUAAACUUCUUUUAUUAGGGAAGAAAAAACGGGAUGCGUCCUGUACUGACGGUACUUAAUGAAUAAGGAUCGGCUAACUUCGUGCCAGCAGCCGCGGUAA